rnacentral:rRNA from 1 species
UACGGGGGGGGCAAGCGUUGUUCGGAAUUACUGGGCGUAAAGGGCUCGUAGGUGGCCAACUAAGUCAGACGUGAAAUCCCUCGGCUUAACCGGGGAACUGCGUCUGAUACUGGAUGGCUUGAGUUUGGGAGAGGGAUGCGGAAUUCCCGGUGUAGAGGUGAAAUUCGUAGAUAUCGAGAAGAACACCGGUGGCGAAGGCGGCCAACUGGACGGUGACUGACACUGAGACGCGAAAGCGUGGGGAGCAAACAGG